AGCAGGAGACAUGCAAAUAGAGCCCUCCCUCUGCUGAUGAAAACGAGCCCAGCCCUGACCUGCAGCUCUGGGAGAGGAGCCCAGCCCUGGGAUUGUCAGGUGUUUGCAUUUGGUGAUCAGCGCAGAACACAGAGACUGAACUCACCAUGGAGUUUGUGCUGAGCUGGGUUUUCCUUGUUGCUAUUUUAAAAGGUGUCCAGUGUGAGGUGCAGCUGGUGGAGUCUGGGGGAGGCUUGGUUCAGCUUGGGGGGGUCCCUGAGACUCUCCUUCGCGGCCUCUGGAUUCACCUUCAGUAGCUAUGGCAUGCACUGGGUCUGCCAGGCUCCAGGGAAGGGGCUGGAGUGGGUCUCAGCCAUUAGUAACAUAUACUACGCAGACUCCGUGAAGGGCCGAUUCACCAUCUCCGGAGACAACGCCAAGAACUCGCUGUAUCUGCAGAUGAACAGCCUGACAGCCGAGGACACGGCCAUGUAUUACUGUGCGAGAGAUAUAGUUAACAAUAAUAUGGAGUUUCAAAGAGGUAGAAGAAGUAUGUUAGUAUUCUCAAUAAAAAGAAAAGGAUUGCGAUGAUGGAUAUGCUAAUUAUCCUAAUAUGGCCCCUAUAUAUUAUAUGUAU